rnacentral:rRNA from 1 species
GUUAGGAAUCUUCCACAAUGGGCGAAAGCCUGAUGGAGCGACACUGCGUGAGGGAUGAAGGUCUUCGGAUCGUAAACCUCUAAAACGGGGACGAUAAUGACGGUACCCGUUGAGAAGCACCGGCUAACUCCGUGCCAGCAGCCGCGGUAAUACGGAGGGUGCAAGCGUUAUCCGGAAUCACUGGGCGUAAAGGGCGCGUAGGCGGUCUGUUAAGUCCGAUGUUAAAGCCCGGGGCUCAACCCCGGCACGGCGUUGGAUACUGGCAGGCUUGACGGCUGGAGAGGCGAGUGGAAUUACCAGUGUAGCGGUGGAAUGCGUAGAUACUGGUAGGAACACCUAUGGCGAAGGCAGCUCGCUGGACAGCACGUGACGCUGAGGCGCGAAAGUGUGGGGAGCAAACCGGAUUAGAAACCCUAGUAGUCC